ACGUAGGGGGCGAGCGUUGUCCGGAUUUAUUGGGCGUAAAGAGCUCGUAGGCGGCUUUGUCAGUCGGGUGUGAAACCUCCAGGCUCAACCUGGAGCCGCCACCCGAUACUGCAAUAGCUAGAGUCCGGUAGGGGAGCAUGGAACUCCUGGUGUAGCGGUGAAAUGCGCAGAUAUCAGGAGGAAUACCGAUGGCGUAGGCAGGCUACUGGCUCGUCCCUGACACUAAGGCACGAAAGCGUGGGGAGCGACCGGGA
rnacentral:rRNA from 1 species